UACAGAGGGUGCGAGCGUUAAUCGGAAUUACUGGGCGUAAAGGGCGUGUAGGCGGCUGGAUAAGUGGGAUGUUAAAUCCCCCGGCUCAACCGGGGACCUGCAUCUCAUACUGUUCAGCUCGAGCACAUCAGAGGAGACUGGAAUUCCCGGUGUAGCGGUGAAAUGCGUAGAUAUUGGGAGGAACACCGGUGGCGAAGGCGGCUACCUGGACCGGUACUGACGCUGAGGCGCGAAAGCUGGGGUAGCAAACAGG
rnacentral:rRNA from 1 species